CCGUCUUUUAACAAUUUUGUUGUAUGUAAUUAAAAUCUAAAAAGUACUUAAUCAAGCAAUUAACGAGUAAUCGCCUCUUCCCCCUAUAAAUAAACCACUCAAUUUCUUCCUCUUCUUCAGUCUCUCUUCCUUUCCCUCUCUCGAACAAGAAGACAACAACUCAAAACGCAGAGAAGAUCUCCAGAACGACACCGUUUCGUAGCAAAGAUGCUUUCUUCGUCUCCAACCUCCUUCACUCAUCCCUUCCUCUCCACGUCUCCGCCUCUCUCCCCCAUAUCCCCGCCGUCU
rnacentral:lncRNA from 1 species